ensembl:lncRNA
GUUAGAGUUUCCCUCCUGUACUUCUGUGUGUGUGUGUGUGUGUGUGUGUGUGCGUGCGUGUGCGUGUGCGUGCGUGUGUGUUCUUAUGGUAAAACAUAAUGUUUUCUAAAGCUGAUGAUGAGUUUCCUCGUGAGACAGGGACACGUCUGUCCUUGUCUCAUUGGCUGAUCCAGGAACCUCCUACAUGCACUGUGACUCCUGCAGCCCGCGGGUUCUUCUCUGCUGCGGUGCCGUUUCCUGUGUGCGUGCACAGACGUUUGUGUUGCUAUGAGAAGAAGCUCACACUGAUUUACAUGCGUAGCUGGAAAUAAACGGAAAACACAACUUCUACUUCUGAGCCUCUUGAUUCCAGAUUUGCUUUGAGGAACACAUGAGCUCCUCUCUCUGUCUCAGCACCCGUCUCCUGCCUCCGGCCUUCCAGCAGCAGACGGGCGGAGCAGGUGAAGCGGGCGUGGACGAGGAAGCACAGGAAGCGAGGCGUCUGUCCGACCGGCCGUCGCUGUGCGAGCAGCAGAAGAAGCUGGAGGACAAGCGGAGUCUUCUCCAGGAGACCCUGGGUCACCAGCUACUUCAGGAAGUUCCCCAUGCACAUCUACUGCCUCCCAGUCCAGGCGGCCAAUCAGAGGAGCCGGAAGCGGGUCCUAACGAAGAGGAGAUGAUGCGUUGAGAUUAUUUCUGUUUUUAAUGUUUUUUCAAUCAAAAAAUAAAUCCAAC